UACGGAGGGUGCAAGCGUUAUCCGGAUUCACUGGGUUUAAAGGGUGCGUAGGUGGGCAGGUAAGUCAGUGGUGAAAUCUCCGGGCUUAACCCGGAAACUGCCGUUGAUACUAUCUGUCUUGAAUAUAGUGGAGGUGAGCGGAAUAUGUCAUGUAGCGGUGAAAUGCUUAGAUAUGAUAUAGAACACCGAUUGCGAAGGCAGCUCACUAAGCAGGCAUUGACGCUGAGGCACGAAAGCGUGGGGAUCAAACAGG
rnacentral:rRNA from 1 species